UACAGAGGUCCCAAGCGUUGUUCGGAUUCAUUGGGCGUAAAGGGCGCGUAGGCGGCGGGGUAAGUCUGGUGUGAAAUCUCGGAGCUCAACUCCGAAAUUGCACUGGAUACUGCUCUGCUAGAGGGCUGGAGAGGAGAUCGGAAUUCACGGUGUAGCAGUGAAAUGCGUAGAUAUCGUGAAGAAGACCAGUGGCGAAGGCGGAUCUCUGGACAGCUCCUGACGCUGAGGCGCGAAGGCUAGGGGAGCAAACGGG
rnacentral:rRNA from 1 species